UGGGGAAUUUUGGACAAUGGGCGAAAGCCUGAUCCAGCAAUGCCGCGUGUGUGAAGAAGGCCUUCGGGUUGUAAAGCACUUUUGUCCGGAAAGAAAUCCUUGGCUCUAAUACAGUCGGGGGAUGACGGUACCGGAAGAAUAAGCACCGGCUAACUACGUGCCAGCAGCCGCGGUAAUACGUAGGGUGCAAGCGUUAAUCGGAAUUACUGGGCGUAAAGCGUGCGCAGGCGGUUUGCUAAGACCGAUGUGAAAUCCCCGGGCUCAACCUGGGAACUGCAUUGGUGACUGGCAGGCUAGAGUAUGGCAGAGGGGGGUAGAAUUCCACGUGUAGCAGUGAAAUGCGUAGAGAUGUGGAGGAAUACCGAUGGCAAAGGCAGCCCCCUGGGCCAAUACUGACGCUCAUGCACGAAAGCGUGGGGAGCAAACAGGAUUAGAUACCCUGGUAGUCCACGCCCUAAACGAUGUCAACUAGUUGUUGGGGAUUCAUUUCCUUAGUAACGUAGCUAACGCGUGAAGUUGACCGCCUGGGGAGUACGGUCGCAAGAUUAAAACUCAAAGGAAUUGACGGGGUCAUAGCUGUUUCCU
rnacentral:rRNA from 1 species